GGGGAAGCCGGUGCGAAUCCGGCGCUGACCCGCAACCGUGGACCCGACCGUGCGCCGGGCGAGCCGGAGCACCC
rnacentral:ncRNA from 2 species